AAAUUGAAGAGUUUGAUCAUGGCUCAGAUUGAACGCUGGCGGCAGGCCUAACACAUGCAAGUCGAGCGGUAGCACAGAGAGCUUGCUCUCGGGUGACGAGCGGCGGACGGGUGAGUAAUGUCUGGGAAACUGCCUGAUGGAGGGGGAUAACUACUGGAAACGGUAGCUAAUACCGCAUAAUGUCGCAAGACCAAAGUGGGGGACCUUCGGGCCUCAUGCCAUCAGAUGUGCCCAGAUGGGAUUAGCUUGUAGGUGGGGUAACGGCUCACCUAGGCGACGAUCCCUAGCUGGUCUGAGAGGAUGACCAGCCACACUGGAACUGAGACACGGUCCAGACUCCUACGGGAGGCAGCAGUGGGGAAUAUUGCACAAUGGGCGCAAGCCUGAUGCAGCCAUGCCGCGUGUGUGAAGAAGGCCUUCGGGUUGUAAAGCACUUUCAGCGGGGAGGAAGGCGGUGAGGUUAAUAACCUCAUCGAUUGACGUUACCCGCAGAAGAAGCACCGGCUAACUCCGUGCCAGCAGCCGCGGUAAUACGGAGGGUGCAAGCGUUAAUCGGAAUUACUGGGCGUAAAGCGCACGCAGGCGGUCUGUCAAGUCGGAUGUGAAAUCCCCGGGCUCAACCUGGGAACUGCAUUCGAAACUGGCAGGCUAGAGUCUUGUAGAGGGGGGUAGAAUUCCAGGUGUAGCGGUGAAAUGCGUAGAGAUCUGGAGGAAUACCGGUGGCGAAGGCGGCCCCUGGACAAAGACUGACGCUCAGGUGCGAAAGCGUGGGGAGCAAACAGGAUUAGAUACCCUGGUAGUCCACGCCGUAAACGAUGUCGAUUUGGAGGUUGUGCCCUUGAGGCGUGGCUUCCGGAGCUAACGCGUUAAAUCGACCGCCUGGGGAGUACGGCCGCAAGGUUAAAACUCAAAUGAAUUGACGGGGGCCCGCACAAGCGGUGGAGCAUGUGGUUUAAUUCGAUGCAACGCGAAGAACCUUACCUGGUCUUGACAUCCACAGAACUUAGCAGAGAUGCUUUGGUGCCUUCGGGAACUGUGAGACAGGUGCUGCAUGGCUGUCGUCAGCUCGUGUUGUGAAAUGUUGGGUUAAGUCCCGCAACGAGCGCAACCCUUAUCCUUUGUUGCCAGCGGUCCGGCCGGGAACUCAAAGGAGACUGCCAGUGAUAAACUGGAGGAAGGUGGGGAUGACGUCAAGUCAUCAUGGCCCUUACGACCAGGGCUACACACGUGCUACAAUGGCAUAUACAAAGAGAAGCGACCUCGCGAGAGCAAGCGGACCUCAUAAAGUAUGUCGUAGUCCGGAUUGGAGUCUGCAACUCGACUCCAUGAAGUCGGAAUCGCUAGUAAUCGUAGAUCAGAAUGCUACGGUGAAUACGUUCCCGGGCCUUGUACACACCGCCCGUCACACCAUGGGAGUGGGUUGCAAAAGAAGUAGGUAGCUUAACCUUCGGGAGGGCGCUUACCACUUUGUGAUUCAUGACUGGGGUGAAGUCGUAACAAGGUAACCGUAGGGGAACCUGCGGUUGGAUCACCUCCUUA
rnacentral:rRNA from 1 species